AUUGAACGCUGGCGGCAGGCCUAACACAUGCAAGUCGAGCGGAUGAAGGGUGCUUGUUCCUGGAUUCCGCGGCGGACGGGUGUGUAAUGCCUAGGAAUCUGCCUGGUAGUGGGGGAUAAUGUCCGGAAACGGGCGCUACUACCGCAUACGUCCUGAGGGAGAAAGUGGGGGAUCUUUGGAACUCACGCUCUCUGAUGAGCCUAGGCCGGAUUUGCUAGUUGGUGGGGUAAAGGCCUACCAAGGAGACGUUCCGUAACUGGUCUGAGUGGAUGAUCAGUCACACUGAAGCUGAGACACGACCCAGAGUCCGACGGAAGGCAGCGGUGGGGACUAUUGGACGAAGGGCGAAAUCUUGAUCCAGCCAUGCCAGGUGGGUGAAGAAGGGCUUCGGAUGGUAAAGCGCUUUAAGGGGGGAGAAAGGGCAUUAAGUUAACACCUUGCUGUUUGAACGUAACCAACAGAAUAAGCACGGGCAAACAUCGU
rnacentral:rRNA from 1 species